UGGGGAAUAUUGCACAAUGGGGGAAACCCUGAUGCAGCAACGCCGCGUGAAGGAUGAAGUAUUUCGGUAUGUAAACUUCUAUCAGCAGGGAAGAAGAAGACGGUACCUGACUAAGAAGCCCCGGCUAACUACGUGCCAGCAGCCGCGGUAAUACGUAGGGGGCAAGCGUUAUCCGGAUUUACUGGGUGUAAAGGGAGCGCAGGCGGCGCAGUAAGUCAGAAGUGAAAGCCCGGGGCUUAACUCCGGGACUGCUUUUGAAACUGCCGUGCUUGAUUUCAGGAGAGGCAAGCGGAAUUCCUAGUGUAGCGGUGAAAUGCGUAGAUAUUAGGAGGAACACCAGUGGCGAAGGCGGCUUGCUGGACUGAUAAUGACGCUGAGGCUCGAAAGCGUGGGGAGCAAACA
rnacentral:rRNA from 1 species